CGAGCGAAUCGAUGGGAGCUUGCUCCCUGAGAUUAGCGGCGGACGGGUGAGUAACACGUGGGCAACCUGCCUAUAAGACUGGGAUAACUUCGGGAAACCGGAGCUAAUACCGGAUACGUUCUUUUCUCGCAUGAGAGAAGAUGGAAAGACGGUUUACGCUGUCACUUAUAGAUGGGCCCGCGGCGCAUUAGCUAGUUGGUGAGGUAAUGGCUCACCAAGGCGACGAUGCGUAGCCGACCUGAGAGGGUGAUCGGCCACACUGGGACUGAGACACGGCCCAUACUCCUAGGGGAGGCAGCAGUAGGGAAUCUUCCGCAAUGGACGAAAGUCUGACGGAGCAACGCCGCGUGAACGAAGAAGGCCUUCGGGUCGUAAAGUUCUGUUGUUAGGGAAGAACAAGUACCAGAGUAACUGCUGGUACCUUGACGGUACCUAACCAGAAAGCCACGGCUAACUACGUGCCAGCAGCCGCGGUAAUACGUAGGUGGCAAGCGUUGUCCGGAAUUAUUGGGCGUAAAGCGCGCGCAGGUGGUUCCUUAAGUCUGAUGUGAAAGCCCACGGCUCAACCGUGGAGGGUCAUUGGAAACUGGGGAACUUGAGUGCAGAAGAGGAAAGUGGAAUUCCAAGUGUAGCGGUGAAAUGCGUAGAGAUUUGGAGGAACACCAGUGGCGAAGGCGACUUUCUGGUCUGUAACUGACACUGAGGCGCGAAAGCGUGGGGAGCAAACAGGAUUAGAUACCCUGGUAGUCCACGCCGUAAACGAUGAGUGCUAAGUGUUACAGGGUUUCCGCCCUUUAGUGCUGCAGCUAACGCAUUAAGCACUCCGCCUGGGGAGUACGGCCGCAAGGCUGAAACUCAAAGGAAUUGACGGGGGCCCGCACAAGCGGUGGAGCAUGUGGUUUAAUUCGAAGCAACGCGAAGAACCUUACCAGGUCUUGACAUCCUCUGACAACCCUAGAGAUAGGGCUUUCCCCUUCGGGGGACAGAGUGACAGGUGGUGCAUGGUUGUCGUCAGCUCGUGUCGUGAGAUGUUGGGUUAAGUCCCGCAACGAGCGCAACCCUUGAUCUUAGUUGCCAGCAUUCAGUUGGGCACUCUAAGGUGACUGCCGGUGACAAACCGGAGGAAGGUGGGGAUGACGUCAAAUCAUCAUGCCCCUUAUGACCUGGGCUACACACGUGCU
rnacentral:rRNA from 1 species